GAUGAACGCUAGCGGCAGGCUUAAUACAUGCAAGUCGUGGGGCAGCAUGAGUGUAGCAAUACAUUUGAUGGCGACCGGCAAACGGGUGCGGAACACGUACACAACCUUCCUUCAAGUGGGGAAUAGCCCAGGGAAACUUGGAUUAAUACCCCGUAAUAUUAUGGAGUGGCAUCACUUUAUAAUUAUAGCUCCGGCGCUUGAUGAUGGGUGUGCGCCUGAUUAGGUAGUUGGCGGGGUAAC
rnacentral:rRNA from 1 species